rnacentral:rRNA from 1 species
CCUACGGGUGGCAGCAGUGGGGAAUAUUGCACAAUGGGGGAAACCCUGAUGCAGCGACGCCGCGUGAGUGAAGAAGGAUUUCGGUAUGUAAAGCUCUAUCAGCAGGGAAGAAAAUGACAGUACCUGACAAAGAAGCACCGGCUAACUACGUGCCAGCAGCCGCGGUAAUACGGAGGGGGCAAGCGUUAUCCGGAUUGACUGGGUGUAAAGGGAGCGUAGACGGGUAAGCAAGUCAGGAGGGAAAGCCCGUGGCCCAACCCCGGGACUGCUUUGGAAACUGUGUAACUUGAGUACAGGAGAGGUAGGCGGAAUUCCUGGUGUAGCGGUGAAAUGCGUAGAUAUCAGGAGGAACACC